GCUGCUCUGAUAAUCACACACCUCUACGCGGUGGGCAGUAGGCAACGAUCUAAGGAUUGGCUGAGAUGUGAAA
rnacentral:ribozyme from 1 species